AAAGAAAAAGGAACUGAUGGAAAUAUUCAAGAAGAACACAAGUGGCCAGUGCUUGUUGGCUCUUGUGCUCGUGGCUACUGUCAUUUCGUCUUCUGAUGCGUUUGGCCCAGAAGGAGGAUGCUUCAUGCCUUUCGUGGAAUGCAAUCUGGACUUGUGCAAGCGUAACUGCGACGGUCUAAUUCCCUAUUGCAAACAGAUAGACGGAGUUUCUGCCCAAUGUUGUUGCUCUCCCAAGAAACUUAGUGCAUCUGUUGAUAAGAAUAACCGUCCUUGAGAUGAAUUCCUAAAUAGUAAUUUGUAUGUCAUUGAUCUUUCAUGGAUCCAAUUCCACCUGAUUGAAUAAAAUUUAUCACCAUUGAAAAA